GACGAACGCUGGCGGCGUGCUUAACACAUGCAAGUCGAACGGAAAGGCCCUGCUUUUGUGGGGUGCUCGAGUGGCGAACGGGUGAGUAACACGUGAGUAACCUGCCCUUGACUUUGGGAUAACUUCAGGAAACUGGGGCUAAUACCGGAUAGGAGCUCCUGCUGCAUGGUGGGGGUUGGAAAGUUUCGGCGGUUGGGGAUGGACUCGCGGCUUAUCAGCUUGUUGGUGGGGUAGUGGCUUACCAAGGCUUUGACGGGUAGCCGGCCUGAGAGGGUGACCGGCCCAAUGGGGCCUGAGAUAGGCCCCAGACUCCACCGGGGGCCAGCAGGGGGGAAUAUUGCACAAUGGGCGGAAGCCUGAUGCAGCAACGCCGCGUGCGGGAUGACGGCCUUCGGGUUGUAAACCGCUUUCGCCUGUGACGAAGCGUGAGUGACGGUAAUGGGUAAAGAAGCACCGGCUAACUACGUG
rnacentral:rRNA from 1 species